rnacentral:rRNA from 1 species
ACACCAACAAACGCCAGGGUACUACGAGCCCAGCUUAAAACCCAAAGGACUUGACGGUGUCCCACCCAACUAGAGGAGCCUGUUCUAUAAUCGAUAAUCCACGAUAUACCUAACCGUUUCUUGCCAAUCAGUCUGUAUACCUCCGUCGUAAGCUUACCGUGUGAACGCACAAUAGUAGGCUCAAGGGCUUUAACGCCAUAACGUCAGGUCAAGGUGCAACUCAUGAAACGGAAGCUAUGGGCUACAAUUUCUAACCUAGAACAAACGAAAUACUACAUGAAACAUAGUCAUGAAGGCGGAUUUAGUAGUAAGUAGGAAAUAGAGAGUCCUACUAAACUUGGCCAUGGGACG